rfam:Pteropus alecto contig103193, whole genome shotgun sequence.
AGCUUUGCACAGUGGCCGUAUCAUAACCAAUGAGGUUUAUCCAAGGCAUGAUUACUGCUAAUUGAAAACUUUUCCCAAAUAUGUAUGUUUUAUGCAUUUUCUAUAUAUGUAUAAUAUAUAAUAGAAAUUACUUAAAAACA